rnacentral:rRNA from 1 species
GGGCUUGACAUCCCACGAAUCCCGCCGAAAGGCAGGAGUGCCCGCAAGGGAGCGCGGAGACAGGUGGUGCAUGGCUGUCGUCAGCUCGUGUCGUGAGAUGUUGGGUUAAGUCCCGCAACGAGCGCAACCCUCACCCCUUGUUGCCAUCAGGUCAUGCUGGGCACUCUAGGGGAACUGCCCCGGUCAACGGGGAGGAAGGCGGGGAUGACGUCAAGUCAUCAUGCCCCUUACGCCCUGGGCUACACACGUGCUACAAUGGCCGGUACAAAGGGAUGCAACGCCGUGAGGCAGAGCCAAACCCAAAAAGCCGGUCUAAGUUCAGAUUGGAGUCUGCAACUCGACUCUAUGAAGGAGGAAUCGCUAGUAAUCGCGUAUCAGCACGACGCGGUGAAUACGUUCCCGGGCCUUGUACACACCGCCCGUCACACCACGAAAGCCUGUUGUACUCGAAGUCGCUGAG